UACGUAGGGUGCAAGCGUUGUCCGGAAUUAUUGGGCGUAAAGAGCUCGUAGCCGGUUUGUCGCGUCUGCUGUGAAAUCCCGAGGCUCAACCUCGGGCCUGCAGUGGGUACGGGCAGACUAGAGUGCGGUAGGGGAGAUUGGAAUUCCUGGUGUAGCGGUGGAAUGCGCAGAUAUCAGGAGGAACACCGAUGGCGAAGGCGGGACUCUGGGCCGAUACUGACGCUGAGGAGCGAAAGCGUGGGGAGCAAACAGG
rnacentral:rRNA from 1 species